rnacentral:tRNA from 1 species
GGAUAUCUCAGUUGGUUAGAGCAUGGUGCCAAUGACGCCAAGUUUGCAGGUUCAAUCCUCGUAUGGGACA